rnacentral:tmRNA from 1 species
GAUGUUUAAAGGAUUCAUUUAAUAGAUUAUAUUAUCCUUGUUGUUUAUCAACUAUAGCAAUAAAUACUAUAUGUGCUAAGUGUAUCGGACUCGGGGGCGGUACCCGACACCUCCACCAAAAAAAUCAUGGGGGUGAUAUAGGCUUGACGUGCUCUGAAGGAUAUGGUUUUUGCUCGUUGUAAGCGUUUCUUCGAUAUAGAAACUUAAAAUAAUUGCUAACGAUAAUGAAUUAGCACUCGCUGCUUAAUCUAAUUAGGUAAGCGCGGCUUUGGGGCGGCCGGGCAACAGAACGCCCCUUGA